rnacentral:tRNA from 1 species
AGGUUUUUAGUUAAAAAAUAAUGCUUCACUUACACUGAAUAGUUAUCCUUGAAUAAUAUAAUUUG